AGGUUGUGUUGGGGGCAAUUCCUUAGCAUUCCUUUAUACCUCUCCCAUGCUUCAUACAAAGACUCACCAUCAUGUUAUUCGAAGUUUUCUAUCUUCUUCUUGAGUUU